UCUGAUGCUGAGCUGGUUAGACAGGUGGCUUCCUUCUGGGACAGAUAGAGAAGAGGAACCUUCACUCAUGACUGGGUGAUAUUAUAAUUGGAACUCUGCUUGGUGCUAUCCACUAAGACCGGAAAGACACUCAAGACUGCCACAUGGGGUUCUGCUUAGAUCAAGGCCUGUUUCAGCAGCAGAUUUUCCCAGUUGCCGUUUUGAAACAGUGCUUACGUGUGACUUCAGUGCUCGGAGCCCUCCUCUGUUAAGCAUCACCAAGGAUGAAGGCUUCUUUCUGCAAGUGUCGUCCACCACAAGAAGGACUUCUGAAUCUCCAUGCCCAGCAAGGUCCUGGGUCCUCUUCUGAGAUCGCAGACAUUCAUGAGCUUCCCCCAGCCAGAAUCCUACAGGAGCCUCCAAACCAUCACUCCUCAAAUUAAGAUAAUACUGCUCAUUGGCACCAGAAAAGCUGACAAAGAACAGAAGAAGCCAUGCACAACUUCACCACACAUAAAACUCCACUGCCUUUCAGAAGGAAAAUUUUGGAAACAUGAGGCCAAUCCCCCAGCCCUGGUUAACAGAACAGCAGCAGCAGCAGCAGCA
rnacentral:sRNA from 1 species